rnacentral:rRNA from 1 species
GAUGAACGCUGGCGGCGUGCCUAAUACAUGCAAGUCGAGCGAACGGACGAGAAGCUUGCUUCUCUGAUGUUAGCGGCGGACGGGUGAGUAACAUGUGGAUAACCUACCUAUAAGACUGGGAUAACUUCGGGAAACCGGAGCUAAUACCGGAUAAUAUUUUGAACCGCAUGGUUCAAAAGUGAAAGACGGUCUUGCUGUCACUUAUAGCUGGAUCCGCGCUGCAUUAGCGAGUUGGUAAGGUAACGGCUUACCAAGGCAACGAUGCAUAGCCGACCUGAGAGGGUGGUUGGCCACACUGGAAGUGAGACACGGUCCAGACUCCUACGGGAGGCCGCAGUAGGGAAUCUUCCGCAAUGGGCGAAAGCCUGACGGUGCAACGCCGCGUGAGUGAUGAAGGUCUUCGGAUCGUAAAACUCUGUUAUUAGGGAAGAACAUAUGUGUAAGUAACUGUGCACAUCUUGACGGUACCUAAUCAGAAAGCCACGGCUAACUACGUG